rnacentral:lncRNA from 1 species
UUCUACAUAGAUGAGAAUGUCCUCUGUGAACUCUCCAUUUUUAAUGUUUCCUGACAGCUUUUAAUCUUCAUCACUACCCAUUGUUCUGCCCCACAUCUUGGAGAGCUAUUUGGUUACAGUCCUGAUGUUGGUUGUGCUGCAUUGUCAUCUGGUGGCUCACUUGGGAGAGAAAAACUGUUCCCAGUCUCAUUAAUCCUAUAUGAAUAGAAAUACAAGGAAAACAUGAUUUAACAGUAGGGAAACAUAAAGAAGAUACAACAAUUUUAUUUCUCCUGGUGAUGUUUCUUUGCAAGUGGCUUUGGUCAAAGAGAAGGUCAAUGAGAAUGUCUGGAAAAUGGAUUCCAUCUGUUCACAAGAGUACAUGAAGAGGGGAAGGUUGUCAUUGUGUACAGACUGGAGAAUCAGACCUAAACAAAACCCAGAGUUAAGGAAGUAAGUUUUCUUUGGAGAGAAAUUUCAGCUCCAGAGUAAAUGCCAACUAUUGGGGUAAGCUUCCAGAAGGAAGUAGGGAACAGCAAAAGGGGGAACCUGCCAGAAGUAAAUUCCAGCUGGAAUAUCGUAAAGUGACAUAUGUGUGAGGUGCUGUAGCACAGCUGGUUUACUUCUCUAGGUAUCAUCAGGCAGCUGAACAUGCUGGGUGAAACCAUUCCUGGCACAGACUUCUUGAAGGUUCAGUGAAGGACCCGGACAAGCCUAGGUAAUUCAUUCAUUUCCAGACACAGUCUCCUCUAAUAUUUUCAAAUAAGUGAACGUUAUGUUUUUUGGAACAAUUACUAAAUUACAGUUUCAUAGUGUUUCUAUUUGAUGAGCAUUUUUUU